GGCAGGGUAGUAUAGCGGUACGGCAGAUUCAUAGUCUGAGAGCAGAGGUGUAACAGUUCUCUCCCUACUU
rnacentral:tRNA from 1 species